GGAGACUGGGGGCCAUGGUGGGGUCAAAGUAGCACAUUUAAUAAAUAAUUAUUCUAAACAAAAACCUUGUUUCUAUUGAACCUGCCAUACUAAUAAAGGCAUUUUAAUCAAUUAUAUGAAGAGUGUCUUGGUCCUCCUUUCUAUUUGAUGACCUACUCACCCCUUUACCAAAGAGCACCUUCUGUCUACCAACAUUUACUAUUGUGUACCUUAGUAGCGCUUCCCUUCCUCCUCUUUCUACUAAACCACAAAGGGGUUAGAACUACAAUUCCGGCGCCAUUUCCGGUUGCCGUCGCUGGACGCGAUGCAACGUGAAACAGGGAGUUGUAGUUCUUCACAGAAAGCCCAGGUGUAUUCAAACCAUUACAGUUUUACAUUUACAUUUUAGUCAUUUAGCAGACGCUCUUAUCCAGAGCGACUUACAGUAGUGAAUGCAUACAUUUCAUACAUUUUUAUUUUCCCGUACUGGGAAAAUAAUGACACACAGUUCCUCAGCACUGGAACAUUUUGGAAUCACAGUCAUGAAACCCCCCUUAAACAUAUGACACAAUGUUCUCACUACAACUGAGGACUCUUACAGUGGUGGACUUUAUGUUAAUAAAUAGGUCUCAAAUCAAAUCAAAGUUUAUUUGUCACGUGCGCCGAAUGCAACAGACCUUACAGUGAAAUGCUUCCUUACAGGCUUUAACCAAUAGUGCGAAAAAAAGGUAUGUGUGUGUGUGUGUGUGUGUGUGUGUGUGUGUGUGUGUGUAAGUAAAGAAAUAAAACAACAAUAAAAAUACAUUUGAAAAUAAGAGUAGCAAGGCUAUAUAAAGACAUCGGUUAGUCAGGCUUAAGAGUUGUGAACUACAAAUAUGGCGUCUUUUUGUAGUUUUCUUCCUAACUCUAACCCUAGCUCAGUUGAUCUGCUUUAUCAAUGGUGCAACAUUCAACCCCUCCAAAAUGCCUUAAUUCAUCUGAUGCAUCCCUCACGCAGAUCCACUGACGUCCGAAUCACUAUUUCAAUUUGUCUACAGACUCAAUAGUAUUUGCAUUUCAAAAUGCAAUAUUCUCAUUCAUUUUGAUAAUUCUUUCUCAUUAAGGGACAUUCACUAAGAGGAUUUGUUCAGACCAAUGGGCUGCUCUAACA
rnacentral:lncRNA from 1 species